CUAACUUCUUGGCUGUACUCUCCAGAAAUGAAGUGUUCCUUGACUCUGUUGAGAGCUAGCAAGCAAUUGCAUCAGCUAUAACUAGUCUAGUCGGGUUGGAUAGAGUGGGCAGGAUGAAUACACCUGUAUUUAUGGACCAUACAGCCAGGCUGAAGGAAAAGUGACUAGACAUUUUACCAUGGCUGGACUUCCAGAAGAUGAGGCCCUUUUCAUGUGCUGCAGACUGGACCCACACAUACCAUCAGAUACAUUAGUGCAACGAAGGCCUAUAGGCAGCUGACAGUAAUGGUUGAUCUCAAGCAAAAUCAUCCCCAGGCUGAGGUUUCUUUAAGGUUUUGUCAGCUAUUUGAGACAUUGUCAGAAACUCUGAAAGGUGAAGGAAGUAGGAGACGAAACAAAUAUCACAGAACGAACUGAGUCACUCGAUGAGUUUUUGCCCAAGCUAAACUAUAGCCCCAAGAAAGCAAAGAGUAACCUCAGGAUGUUGAAUUGAUGCCAAGGAAAGCAUAGAAGGGUUGAUACAAACAAGAAAAAGACAUGCAAGAUAUUACAUGGAGUACAAUGACUGCAAGCCACUGAGAAAGGAGCCUUUUGGGUAGAGGCAGGCAUGUUGGCCUCAAAGUCCUCUACUUUGUAAUGAUGGGGGAAAAAAAAGGUUUAUUGCAUCAGAAAAUGGUCUGGAUUCCACUACAUGGGAAUCUCCCUAGACACUGACAGAGUUCCUUAUCACAUUUCAUUUGAUUAUUGGGAACUAAGCACUAUAAUUUGCAGAGGGCUACUAUAGAG
rnacentral:lncRNA from 1 species